rnacentral:miRNA from 10 species
AUGCAUUAGGUAGGUGCAAAAGUAAUUGCGGGUUUUAGCACUGCUUUUAAUGGCAAAUACUGCAAAUACUUUUGCACCAACCUAA